rnacentral:lncRNA from 1 species
UUUUUUUUUUUUUUUUUUUAAAUGCAUUUUUAGUAGAGACGGAGUUUCACCAUGUUGGUCAGGUUGAUCUCGAACUCCUGACCUCAGUUGAUCAGAAGUAGGUGAGGUCAGAAAACAUACCCUGGGAGAGGCCGGCACAAUGCUCAGAACCACCAUCGCUAGCCCUGGGGUUUUCUUCUGUAGUGGAAUUCAUGUAUGCAGGGACAAAACCACUCAGAUACUUCUGGGAGUUAAAAAGAGAUGCAUUUACAGUGCAAUUUGAGAAGGGGUAUUAAGGAAUUUGCCAGGGUACUGACCCGUGUCAGGUGUACACCGCAGGUUGAGAGAGGGCUAAAUAGUUUCUGCCCAUGAAGGUGAUAAGCGAGGGCCUGAAGAAAGAGGGACACGGGAGGACACUGGCACCAGAAAUAGGAAAGGGCUGCUUGGAGGUGGGAAGGAUGGGUCGGGGUGCUAUCUAGAAAGUUGCCUGGCAAUGGAUGUAGGAUGUGUAAGCGAGACCUCAAACAAGAAGCUGUCGCUUAAAUAAAGUCUGAAGAAAGACAAGAUAGGUAAACGGCAGGAGCUAGUAGGAAACUGGACCCGGCUCCACAUAAAACUUCCCGCCUUAUACUUCAGGGAGGAUCGCAGCGCAUUUCGGCCAAGACAGGUUCUGACCUGCGGGCCUGGAUGAAUAUGGGCUAGGGCAGCUGGGCACCGGCAGAGCCGUUUCCCUACGCAAAGUAAGCGUGUUAUGUCUACAACCCAACGGGGACAGUAGAGCCCCAAAGGCCUUGCUUUCUUCCCAAAGAACAGCCCCCGUCUACGUAGUUUCUACCUGGCUCUAGGAGGUGAGAACACAUUCCCCGAUAGCACAGAAAUCCUACAAACGCGUGUGGGAGCUGCCGUUAGAAACAGAGGCUGUGUAAAAAGUGACUGGGGGUUAGAAAAACACAGAGAAUGAGAACCCAAGAGACUGGAGACUUUGGACCAAUCUCUGCAAAAAGCUGGUCCUUAGAAAGGAAAGAGCUGUGCGGUCCUCACUCAAGUUAGCUUGUGUUACAACCGCUGACGCUCAUAUCAGUUCUGGUAGAGAAGCGACAUGUUAUUUCCUAUUCCCAAGUCAUCCACUGUUAAAACUACACUUGGAAAGCUACCCGAAACUACAAACCAACAGACGAAAGAAAUAACCCUUACUGUACAGUCUAUUCUUUAAACACAAAAGUCAGGGAAAGCGCGAACGCAGUCCCCCACUACCACAAAUUAUGCAGUCGAGUUUCCCACAUUUGGGGAAAUCGCAGGGGUCAGCACAUCCGGAGUGCAAUGGAUAAGCCUCGCCCUGGGAAAACCACCUUCGUGAUCAUGGUAUCUCCCCUGCCAGGU